UUUAACCCAGAUGGCAGGAUGCGAACUCAAGAAUGCCAUGAACAACACGGCCGCGUAGCACCAGCUUCAUGGUGUUAUCACCUUCAUACGAGCCUUCCCUCACCAAGCUAAUCUCAGAUCCGAAAUCAACAGUCAAAUCCAUUAUCCAUGCUUCAAAGGAUCCGAAUCAACAACUUGAAAGCUAAAACCUUAAAUCUGGAAUCAACGUCCACGCGUGAAUCGCAGCUUCCGGCGCCGGCUUUCAUGGCUUUCUCUCUUCGAUCUCAUCUUGAUUCAUCUUCAACACAACAUCCACGUUCAUCAAUGCAAGGUGGAGCCAUGAAACUGUUCAACACGAGCCUCAUCGCCUCCUUCAUCAUUUCGAUUUGAGCAGUUCGAGACUUCCAAACGCGAAUGCUAAAUGGUGCAUAGUUGCGACGGCAACGCGAAAACGAGUUUCAUCAUAUCAAAGCAAGUGGAAAGGAAAUGUUUACCAGAUUGGAGAUUUUCUACAAACAGGGAAUUGAAGAACUUUGAUGCAGAGAGAUGGAGAUUGAUGCAGAGCGUUGUUGAGGGCUUGAACUUUGCACAGAGCGAUCCUUCUGAGUUUGGUGAAAAACUGAGGAGAACUUCCAGUUGCAGAAGGUUGAAUGAAGAUUGAGAGCAAAAAAUAUGAACCUCCUCAAUGGUCAUUGGCUAACUGUGGAGAACCUGAAGAAUGAAGUGGAUUUGGUUGGACUUAAAUGGCUUUUUGGUUAAGGCUUGAGAUCUAUCAGUUAUGGCUAGGAAAUGUUCCUGCUUGAUGCCCUCUUUUGUUUUGAUGCAUGUUCUGGUUUUGAGUUCUUGAAAUACUUGCCGCAACUAUGCUCUUAGACUACCACGUGGUGUGUUAGCCUUGCUCACGGUGGAUCACCGCUUGAAUGAUGGUCCGAGUGAUUUUGAAGCAUCUCAUGCAUGACAACUAGUAUUAGGGGCAUGUUAUGUAAAAUGAGAGCAUGUAAUGUCAUAUUUAAAUACCAAUGCAAAUUCUUAUGGAUAACUACCAACAAUGUAUGGAAUUUUGUAUACAUUUGUAAUGGCAAUGUAAGAGCUUGAAUGGUGUUUAUGUAAUGGAUUAUGUAAUGACAAUAUGCACAUUGAAUCAAUGUCUUGUAUUGGAUUUUAUGAAUAGAUCAUUGGUGAUUGGAAUGAA